AUUCUCUAAGCACAGCAGACUUUGCUGGAGAUACCAGUCCAAGGCCUAAAGCCCAACUCCUAAGCGUGGUGUGAGGGCCUACUCUCUCGCCUCACUGCUCCUCCCCUUGUAUUUGCUAGUCGGCCUUCGGUAUUUCUCCUUGGUUUCCUGCCUGCUUGCUGUUUCUCGCUCCUCCCUGCCUUUACUCGAACAAGCUGUCCCUUCUGCCUAGAAUGCCCUUCCCACACCAUUCUAAUAGAACUGCUACUCACCCCUCACUUGGUUCAGACGUCUGGCCAUCUGGAAAUCCUCCCACCCCCACCCUGUAGGCCUGUGAUGCACUUAACACAGUAUUAUGUGUCGUUUAUUUAUUGAGACUGUGAUUUGAUCUUACUCAUCUUUGCAUUCCUGGUGCCUGGCUCAGUAAGUGACAGUUGCUGUUGCACCUGAGUGAGGAGGCACAGGGAAAGGACUCUGUUGUCAGGCUAGUCACCGGUGCCUUUUCACCUUGGUCAGAGGCCCCCGACUUUAGGUCUAGCCCUUAACAUCUUCAUCUGCUACGCUACCUGUGGUCUGGAGCUUCAUGAACCCCAGAACCCUACAUGAAUCGUUUGACUCUGUAUGGAAAGUUGGAAGGAAUGGGUCGGGGGAGGCAGAGCUGGGGCAGGUACACACCUGCAGUGGGGCUGAGGUCUGGAGCAGUGCCCACUGGGUGCUUCCACCACCCACAAUGGUCUCCCUUGCUCAGCCUGCUAACUCUGGUUUAUCCGCUGCAGAAAUCAGCAAGCCCCCACAGGCCUUCGUACACCACCUCCAGGGACUUAAACCUGGCUCAGCCCCGUGGUUACCCUGAUCUAUCUGCUGGGAGAUGAGCAAAGGUCGGAGAGAGGGACCAGGCUUCAGCAGAGUCCAAACCAGCAGCAGUUCCUGAACACCCGCUCCUCAGCUCUUCCAGAAGUGCAGCGUGGACCAACCUGUGAGCCUUUGUUCUUCCUCAGUGACUCCAACCCUGUCUUUAGGCUAUAAUGAGUGAUCGUGCCAAAAUGAAAACCAACCCUCCCUACCAAGACUAGGGGUACAACUUUGGUUCCUCUGCCCAAUGCCCUGUGUUUUUCCCACCAGAGCAUGAAAUCUUUACUUGCCUGUGUCCCCCACUAGGUUAGGCACUCCUUGUUGACAAUCUGCCUUAUUGAUUACUAUAUUCCUGUUGCCUGUACAAUAAACAAUUGUUGAAUGAA